rnacentral:tRNA from 1 species
UGUCGGAUCGUCUAAUUGGCAGGACGUCAGAGUUUGAAUCUGAGAAUAGUGGUUCGAACCCAUUUCCGACAA